CUGUCUUCUUCUCUGUCUUACCUGUCUACACCACCAUGUAUCAGAUGUAACACCUCUGAAGGUCUUGCUCUUUGAAGCCAGGAGCACAUCAUGAUACAGUUGCAAGAAAAAGUAAGAUGACCCUUUAGUGAUACCAGAAUUUCUUCACUGAUGACUAAUCAAAGUUGUCCCAAUUACUCUCUAGGUCAGAAUUACAGGCAGACACAAUCUCACAUAACUAAUCACACCUACACAGUUGUCUUGUUUGUGUGUUUUAUUGAGCGCGCUGAACAAACAUCAACAUUGCAGGGAGAAAAAAGAACCUGUCAUCUGGAGACAUCAAUAUCAACCACAGCCUCACCAGGAAUGACACUUGCUCACUGAGUUUGUUGUGCGCAGUGGACAAACGAGAUGUGACUAUAACAUGGAGUAAUGCACAGAGCGGUCAUAUAAAUGUGACCGGAGGUGUCCUGUAUGUACCUCCCAGUGAUGUGAACCUCACCUAUACCUGCACCGCACGUAACCCUGUCAGUAAUGUCUCCAAGACUGUGAUCCCCGGGGAAUACUGCAGGAGAGAUUUGACAAGAGAAAACCAAAAGGAUCUCGGUACAUUACAUAUGAUACGUUGGGUGUUAUCCGGCGUUGUGUUACUCAUCACCUGCUGUGUCUUCAUUCAUCACGUAAAGAGUGAAGUCAAACAACCCUCCGGUAGAUGCUGAAGACGCCUCUUCAACUAGCUGUGCCUUAUGGGAGGAAAGCGACCUUCUCACUUCUCAAAGUUAUUUUCUUUACUAUAAACCAAAAAGUCUGUGUUUAAAUAGGGAAAGAAUUGAAUCCCAGGUCCUUUCCUCAAGAGCUGGAGAUGGUGGUGUGAAAAAGGAUAUGUCGGUAGACUCCACUGUAUCCAAUGACACAACCCAACCUCCAUAAGGGCAGGAGGAUGAAGAUACAAGGUCAUACACUAUAGCUAUAGGCAAUAGUCCAGACAUUUUUGAAAGCUUGCUCAGCAAACAGCUCAUUUUCAUCACAGUUAGGGAUCACGCACACGAACGGUUGCCGCCCGUUCCUUGCAUUGGGGACUGCAAAUUGUGGUCCCUAAUGCACAGGCACCAUUCAACUUGAAUAGGUCCGUGAUCUGCCUGUACUGCAAAAAAAUAUAACAUCAAUUUUUUUGCGGUGUGGAUGCAUGGACAGAAAGCACUUCCGUGGGGUUCCAUGCCUCCAUUCCACACCACUCCUUCCGGAUUGUGGACCCAUUCACGUGAACGGGUGAACCCACUGUUUGCCACCCGCAAUUUUGGCACUGGCCGUGUGCAUAAGACCUUAUCUCCAGCAUCUUCAUAGAAAUGAAUGGAUCUGUGUCACACUUUUCCGGCCAGGUCCUCCGUCCUUUUCAGGGCAGUUCUACAGGGUACGGGGCCACCAUUCUUGUGAUCAGUUGGGGUCACAGCGGUAAGACCCCCUCCGAUCUGAAUGUUAUCCCCUCGUUAUAACCGGAAUACCCCUUUAAGGGCGGGUUCACACUAGCGUUAUGGAGUCUGUUAUAGCUUUCCAUUAUAACAGGGUUAUAACGGAAAAUAACGGGAUCCAUAGGAUGUAAUGCAAAACGGAAGCCUUUAAGCGGCAUUCCGUUUUGUCUCCGUCCUUAAAGAAGUCUAUGGGAAAACAUAACGGAUCCAUCUGGGUCCGGUUAUGCAAGACGGAAAACAAAGUCCUGUCGACCCACUUCUAUGGGUCUGAUGGAAAUAGCCGAACCAGCUCUCGCCUAUUUUCUGCGGCCCCAUAGAAAUGAAUGGAGGCCGGCUGCGCAUGCGCAGUGCGCCCUCCACCACUUCCAGGGCUCCGUUUAGGAGAUACAUGCUUCCCAGCAGGCAACAUUUUUCCAAUAUGGCGUUUGCUGUGCAGUAAAAAUGUUUUGAUAUUUGAAUACUUUGGACAUUUUCAGACAUGUUGAUACUUGUUAUGUUUUAUUUUUUAUUGUAUAUUUUAAUAUAUAACAUUAGGAAAGGAAAUAAUUUGUAUUUUUAUUUUUGGUUUUUUAUUUUUUACUUUUUUAAAACAUUUUCAUCUUUUCACUGUAAUAUUUUUGUCCCCUUAGCAGUGAACUUGAACAUGCGAUCUUUUGAUCUCUUGUUCCAUAGACUGCAAUAGAAUACUAAUGCAGUCUUUGGGAUUUUCACAGGCUGCCUAUCAGGCUUUGCCUUUUAGACUUUUCAGCACUGGGAGUCUGUACAAGGACCCAGGCUGUCAUGGCAACUGAUAGGAGCCCCAUAAUUUAGCGGUGGUGACUCCAGUUGAAGGACAGAUCAGCCCGCACCCCCUGUCUAACCCUACAGGAUUGCGCAGUCACUAUGGAUAGCGGCAUCUGAGGGGUAAAUGUCCAGGAUCAGCAUCAUCUCUGACCCCGAUCACUGCCGGAGUACAAGUAAUUAGUCCUUGUAUGCCAUUUAACCCCUUAGUGACCAGCCUGUUCUGCAUUUUAUUUUGCUGUUGAUGUAGCCAUAUGAGGGCUUGUUUUUAGCAGGUCAUAGUUUUUUAUACAUAAUUUUAGGGUAAAGCUAACUUAUUGAUUAACUUUUAUUAGCUCUUUCUCUGGGAUGGGAAAAAAACAGCAAUACCACCAUUGAUUUUUUUAGGUUGUAAACAUUCAC